rnacentral:rRNA from 1 species
GACGAACGCUGGCGGCGUGCUUAACACAUGCAAGUCGAACGGUAAGGCCUUUCGGGGUACACGAGUGGCGAACGGGUGAGUAACACGUGGGUGAUCUGCCCUGCACUUUGGGAUAAGCCUGGGAAACUGGGUCUAAUACCGAAUAGGACCAUGGACUUCACGGUUUGUGGUGGAAAGCUUUUGCGGUGUGGGAUGGGCCCGCGGCCUAUCAGCUUGUUGGUGGGGUAAUGGCCUACCGAGGCGACGACGGGUAGCCGGCCUGAGAGGGUGACCGGCCACACUGGGACUGAGAUACGGCCCAGACUCCUACGGGAGGCAGCAGUGGGGAAUAUUGCACAAUGGGCGCAAGCCUGAUGCAGCGACGCCGCGUGAGGGAUGACGGCCUCGGUUGGUUAAACCGUACGUUUCCUAGCACAGACGAAGCGCAAGUGACGGUAUGUGC